GCUAACAGGAGGAACGGUGCGGGGGGAAGGCGAAGGGGGCGAUCGGUGGUGGGAAUCACGGGGCGUAAAGGGCAUGUAGGCGGAUUCUUAAGUCAGGGGUGAAAUCCCGGGGUUCAACCUCGGGACUGCCUUUGAGACUGGGGAUCUUGAGUCCGGUAGAGGUGAGUGGAAUUGCGAGUGUAGAGGUGAAAUUCGUAGAUAUUCGCAAGAACACCAGUGGCGAAGGCGGCUCACUGGCCCGGUACUGACGCUGAGGUGCGAAAGCGUGGGGAGCAAACAGGAUUAGAUACCCCUGUAGUC
rnacentral:rRNA from 1 species